UAUUUUCAAACCUAAGUAUUUAUCUAGAUUUUUGACUUUUUUAACCUGUAAAGUCAAAGAUCUCAUGACUUCUAAAACAUAUACAAAUUCUUACUUGAAAUAAUUUGCCAUUUGAUCAAUUAAGUAAAUCAAUAACAGUAUUUCCUAAAGCCUACAAAUUGUUUUGAAAACACAAAACCAGUUAAGUUUCUAUAUGAGCAGGGAAGCAAAGUUUUUAACCUCCCCUGAUGAUUUGUGAUAGAAUUUAAAAGCAUUACUGACAGAGUAUAUGAUCUACAUUUAGAAAACUUGCUAUAACCAUAAUAUGCACAAAUUUGGUAAGUCAUCAUCUUUUCUAACUGCAAGUAUCAGUAAACUGAUCAAAAGGGAAAACAACU
rnacentral:lncRNA from 1 species